rnacentral:rRNA from 1 species
UACAGAGGGUGCGAGCGUUGUCCGGAAUCACUGGGCGUAAAGGGCGCGUAGGUGGCGACCCAAGUCUGUGGUGAAAGCUCGCCGCUUAACGGCGAGUCGGCCACGGAUACUGGGUGGCUCGAGCACUGUAGGGCAGAUGGAAUUCCGGGUGUAGCGGUGGAAUGCGUAGAGAUCCGGAAGAACACCGGUGGCGAAGGCGGCGUUCUGGACUGCAUCUGACACUGAAAGACGAAAGCCAGGGGAGCAAACGGG